CAUACUACUAGUACAUACUAGUACUACUUCUGGUAUUACUAGUACCAGUAGUACGUACUAGUACUUGUAGUACGUACUAGUUGUACUAGUAUUA
rnacentral:tRNA from 1 species